rnacentral:rRNA from 1 species
UACGGGAGGCAGCAGUGGGGAAUCUUGCGCAAUGCGCGAAGCGUGACGCAGCAACACCGCGUGAGGGAAGACGGCCUUAGGGUUGUAAACCUCUUUCAGAUGGGACGAAGGUUCAGCGGUGAAUAGCCGACUGAAUUGACGGUACCGUCAGAAGAAGCUCCGGCUAACUACGUGCCAGCAGCCGCGGUAA